AAUAUAUUUUUGACUCACAAAUAGUUUAUUGGAAUACCUUUUGAAUAUAACGAUAGUAUUAUAUAUUAUCUAAAUAUUGUAUAUAAUGUAUUACUACUGUAUGGUGUAUAUUGACUAUAACCAUGUAAAAUACAGAUAAACUGAAAGCAGAAAAAUUGCAAUUGUGUCAGUAGUGGAAAAACCUAUCAUAGGUUUUUCCACUACUGACAUGCUGUUUGUGGUUUUGAGAAGGGAUUUAACUUUUAGUUCUCUAGAUCUAAAUGAACAAAAAGAUUAUAUGUUUUUGUCUAGGAUUUACUUGGAGUGUGAUUCUGGAUCUGGGACACAGGAGAUUUUGCGGUUUGGAUCCGGCUCAAAACUCAUCAUCACUGAUGAGAACCAGCUCAGGAAACCCAAAGUGACCAUGUACCUGGCGUUCAAACCUGAGCUGAAUGGGAAGACCACCCUGCUAUGUCUGGCUAGAGACAUGUUUCCAGACUUAGUCAAGAUCUCAUGGAAGAUGGAGGAUGAAAACGGCCGAACCGUGGAGGUGCCCAAAGCAGAGAUGGAACAGCUGGAGCAGAGGGAGGAAGGACAGACGACCAGUAUGAUCAUCAUGUAUCAAGGAAAGGCAGAUGCCAAAUACAUCUGUUCGGUGGAGCAUGAAGCGGGCCCUGAAGAAGCUGACACAUCAAAAGGUUUUUCAUCAGAGCAAGAUGUUUGCUCUCCAUCUACCAAUGCGAUGGCACCACCCUAUGCAACCUUCCAGUCCAUGUGCAGUCUGCGUCUGGCCUCUCUGGUUUACACAGUGAUGAUAGCGAAGAGUAUGUUGUACUGCUGUGGGCUCUCUCUCCUGCUGCACCACAGGAACAUGGGAAAUAGCCCCCCUACCUGAAGAAAAGCUACCUGACACGCCAUAUGUCAUCUCUUCAUUAUGAAGAGUUCUGAAAGAGCUCUGGGGACUAGGAGGACAUUUUGGUUUCCAUUUUCCUCUUCCAAUUCCUCACAGUGAGAAAAAAAAGUACUAUUAUUGAUAUCUAUGAGAAGUUUUUGUAUUCCAAACUCAAUUGAAAACGUCUAUAAAAGUUACUGUUAUUUUAAAGGUAAAAAAUAUUAAUGGGUUGCAUGUUUCGUCACAAUAUUUUUCAGAGCUUUCUCUUGAGGACUGGUGGCCGUUCUACUCAAUGCAUUCUCAAUUGGCGCUGAUUAAUAUUUUGUCUAAAGUGCAUUAUAAUGACUGGGAAACUGUGAUAUUACUCAAGUAGACAAAUAAUUAGUAGGAAAACCUUUUGUCAUCAUUGUAAUGUCGCCAGAUUUACUUUAGCUGUAGUAUAACAUUUACUAGCUAUCUAAACGUGAGGGGAGAGCACCGACUGUUACCUAGCUAACAUUAGUAUUGCUAGCAUAAUAAUGCUGACAAAAUUGUUUCCUACUUAAUAUUUGCCCUGUGUAGCAAUAUCAGCAUGUUUCCCAGACUCUAUAGUUUAAUUUAGACCAAAAAUGGAUGCUAAGAAUGACUGGGCACCACUAAAGUUGUUGGCGUCAAUAUCAAUGAUAUACACCACCGUUGAAAAGUUUGGGGUCACUUAGAAAUGUCCUUGUUUUUGAAAGAAUAGCUAUUU